rnacentral:snRNA from 1 species
UGGUGUUACAGCUCUUUGAGAAUUUCUCUAGCAGGUUUUCCCCAUCCCCGCUGGAAGACCCCA